ensembl:lncRNA
GGCUGAAACACAUCUGUUUGCGGUGGGAAUGCCAUUUUAGGCCCAUUUCUUUUGAAAGUAGGGUUGGAAUUGCCAGGGAUCAGCAGAGCUCCAAGCUCACAAAGAGGGCACUGUCUUUGAGGAGUCUUUACAUAAACCCUGCACAACCGAGGCAACAGGAGUUUGCACAGCUGCUGCUGGAAGCAAACAUGUACUUUUAGCUGACCUGGGCUGGUGACUUUGGGCGUUAAGUCUGACGCUUUCCAGAUGUAAAACCCUCUCCUUCCACAGUCCCCAAACAUUCAGUCCCCAGGUAAGAAGGAAAAUAAUAACAAUAAUAAUAACAAGAAUAAAAGGGUGCUGUAAAUGCCACACUGUAGCGUGUAUUCCAGAGUUGACUUUUAUAAAUUACAUGGUCCAGUUGGAAGGUGUGUGGCAUUAUCCUCUCCCAGGAGCUGUGUUUUGAACCACAUUUGACUCAGAGCUAAUUAGUGUUGCAUGUACAUUCAAUCCCAACUCUGGCUGAGCACCUUCUUCAGACCAGGUGGCUAAAUAUUAAGAGUUCUUUUUACCUGCUGGAUUUGGUGAAUAUGGGUCUUUGAGUAUAAGACUUCCGUGGAAUGGUCCUAUGUUGAGCCCCAGGAGCAUUCCCAAGAACAAAGGCAUCUUGCCAAAUAAUCACCAAAUUAAGCUUUGCACUUCAUGGCAAAACAGCCUUGCACAACAGGAGACAGAUUUACUGGUGAGGAUGGGAUGGGAUACUUGUAAAGUAUUCACUGCAGGACAAGCAGGGGAGGGGCUGGAGGAGGGUCUGUCCCAUGUCCUGACUGCAUCUGUGCAGGUUAUAAGCUAUGCUGCAGAAGUUGCUGAUGACUGCACAGCAGGCCCCGGGAUGACAUUUUUCACUUGACUCUCAGUAGGAAAUGGAACCUCAUCCUUGCCUCAGGUCCAGCAUAAAUUGUUCUCCUGCCCAGACGGGUAAUUUUUAACAGUAUUUCCCUUUGCAUCUCUCUGCAGCCCUUGGAUGUUGAGAAGUUCUUAGGGAGGGUGAUAGAAGGGUGUGGGGUUCCUGAAGAGGAUCGUUUAUUUAAUUCCAUUUUAUGUAGGUGUGGUAUUUAUAAAGGCUCCAAAAUUGGCAGCAAGAGAAAGACAAAUAUUCUGUUAAACAGCAGACUGCCCCUGCACAGACAGCUGCAGCCCAGCCUCUCCUCAGUCUCCUUGCCAGUUCUUUCAAGCGUGACCUGGUUUGAGGACCACCUUCAAUGAGAUCAAAAGGAUACACAUGGUACUCCAAACAGCUGUAAAAAAUGACGUGGACAGAAGCUGUGGAGGACUAGCAGCCCAAACACAAAGAGGUAACAGGACAUGGAUGCACAAGCUGGUG